GACGAACGCUGGCGGCGUGCCUAAUACAUGCAAGUAGAACGCUGAAGGAGGAGCUUGCUCUUCUGGAUGAGUUGCGAACGGGUGAGUAACGCGUAGGUAACCUGCCUGGUAGCGGGGGAUAACUAUUGGAAACGAUAGCUAAUACCGCAUAAGAGUAGAUGUUGCAUGACAUUUACUUAAAAGGUGCAAUUGCAUCACUACCAGAUGGACCUGCGUUGUGUGAGCUAGUUGGUGGGGUAACGGCUUACCAAGGCGACGAUACAUAGCCGACCUGAGAGGGGGGUCGGCCAGACUGGGAGUGUGACAGGGCCCAGAGUCCUACGGGAGGCAGCAGUAGGGAAUCUUGGGCAAUGGGCGGAAGUCUUACCGAGCAACGCCGCGUGAGUGAGGAAGGUUUUCGGAUCGUAAAGCUCGGUUGUAAGAGAAGAACGGGUGUGAGAGUGGAAAGUUCACACUGUGACGGUAUCUUACCAGAAAGGGACGGCUAACUACGUG
rnacentral:rRNA from 1 species